AUUGAACGCUGGCGGCAUGCCUAACACAUGCAAGUCGAACGGCAGCACGACCUAGCUUGCUAGGUUGGUGGCGAGUGGCGCACGGGUGAGUAAUGCGUAGGAAUAUACCUUAAAGUGGGGGACAACCUGGGGAAACUCAGGCUAAUACCGCAUGAGCUCUACGGAGGAAAGCUGGGGACCUUUCGGGGCCUGGCGCUUUAAGAAUAGCUUACGUCCGAUUAGUUAGUGGGUGGGGUAAAGGCUUACCAAGACGAUGAUCGGUAGCUGGUCUGGGAGGAUGAUCAGCCACACUGGGACUGAGACACGGCCCAGACUCCUACGGGAGGCAGCAGUGGGGAAUAUUGGACAAUGGGGGAAACCCUGAUCCAGCGAUGCCGCGUGUGUGAAGAAGGCCUGCGGGUUGUAAAGCACUUUCGGUGGGGAGGAGGACUUAUAGGUUAAGAGCUAAUGAGUUGGACGUUACCCACAUAAGAAGCACCGGCUAACUCCGUGCCAGCCGCCGCCGUAA
rnacentral:rRNA from 1 species